rnacentral:rRNA from 1 species
CACGCCGUAAACGAUGGAUACUAGCUGUUGGGCGCAAGUUCAGUGGUUAAGCGAAAGUGAUAAGUAUCCCACCUGGGGAGUACGGUCGCAAGACUGAAACUCAAAGGAAUUGACGGGGGCCCGCACAAGCGGUGGAGCAUGUGGUUUAAUUCGAUGAUACGCGAGGAACCUUACCAAGGCUUAAAUGGGAAUUGACAGGACUAGAAAUAGUUUUUUCUUCGGACAAUUUUCAAGGUGC